rnacentral:rRNA from 1 species
UACGUAGGGUGCGAGCGUUGUCCGGAAUUACUGGGCGUAAAGAGCUCGUAGGUGGUUUGUCGCGUUGUUCGUGAAAACCUGAGGCUUAACCUUGGGCGUGCGGGCGAUACGGGCAGACUGGAGUACUGCAGGGGAGACUGGAAUUCCUGGUGUAGCGGUGGAAUGCGCAGAUAUCAGGAGGAACACCGGUGGCGAAGGCGGGUCUCUGGGCAGUAACUGACGCUGAGGAGCGAAAGCGUGGGGAGCGAAC